UGGGGAAUAUUGGACAAUGGGCGCAAGCCUGAUCCAGCAAUGCCGCGUGUGUGAAGAAGGCCUUCGGGUUGUAAAGCACUUUUAUCAGGAGCGAAACGCUGUCGGCUAAUACCCGGCGGAACUGACGGUACCUGAGGAAUAAGCACCGGCUAACUUCGUGCCAGCAGCCGCGGUAAUACGAAGGGUGCAAGCGUUAAUCGGAAUUACUGGGCGUAAAGCGUGCGUAGGCGGUUUCUUAAGUCUGCUGUGAAAUCCCCGGGCUCAACCUGGGAAUGGCAGUGGAUACUGGGAGGCUAGAGUGUGUCAGAGGGUGGUGGAAUUCCCGGUGUAGCGGUGAAAUGCGUAGAGAUCGGGAGGAACAUCAGUGGCGAAGGCGGCCACCUGGGACAACACUGACGCUGAGGCACGAAAGCGUGGGGAGCAAACAGGAUUAGAUACCCUGGUAGUCCACGCCCUAAACGAUGCGAACUGGAUGUUGGUCUCAACUCGGAGAUCAGUGUCGAAGCUAACGCGUUAAGUUCGCCGCCUGGGGAGUACGGUCGCAAGAUUGAAAACUUAAAGGAAUUGACGGGUCAUAGCU
rnacentral:rRNA from 1 species